rnacentral:rRNA from 1 species
AUACGAAAGGUGCAAGCGUUGUUCGGAUUUACUGGGCGUAAAGAGAUCGUAGGUGGUUUAUUAAGUCGGAUGUGAAAUCCCGGGGCUCAACCCCGGAACUGCAUUCGAUACUGGUAGACUAGAGUUUGGGAGGGGUAAGCGGAAUUCCGUGUGUAGCAGUGAAAUGCGUAGAUAUAUGGAGGAACACCUGAGGCGAAGGCGGCUUACUGGACCAAUACUGACACUGAGGAUCGAAAGCGUGGGUAGCAAACAGGAUUAGAAACCCCUGUAGUCC